rnacentral:rRNA from 1 species
UGGGGAAUAUUGGACAAUGGGCGCAAGCCUGAUCCAGCCAUGCCGCGUGUGUGAAGAAGGCCUUCUGGUUGUAAAGCACUUUAAGCGAGGAGGAGGCUACUUUAGUUAAUACCUAGAGAUAGUGGACGUUACUCGCAGAAUAAGCACCGGCUAACUCUGUGCCAGCAGCCGCGGUAAUACAGAGGGUGCAAGCGUUAAUCGGAAUUACUGGGCGUAAAGCGCGCGUAGGUGGUUCGUUAAGUUGAAUGUGAAAGCCCCGGGCUAAACCUGGGAACUGCAUCCAAAACUGGCGAGCUAGAGUAGGGCAGAGGGUGGUGGAAUUUCCUGUGUAGCGGAGAAAUGCGUAGAGAUAGGAAGGAAAACCAGUGGCGAAGGCGACCACCUGGGCUCAUACUGACACUGAGGUGCGAAAGCGUGGGGAGCAAACAGG